rnacentral:rRNA from 1 species
AGAAAAUAGAUACCCCGGUAGUCCACGCCGUAAACGAUGGGCACUAGGUGCUGGGGGGAGCGACCCCUUCAGUGCCGCAGCUAAACGCGAUAAGUGCCCCGCCUGGGGAGUACGGCCGCAAGGCUGAAACUCAAAGGAAUUGACGGGGGCCCGCACAAGCGGUGGAGCAUGUGGUUUAAAUUCGAAGCAACGCGAAGAACCUUACCUAGGUUUGACAUGCUGGUGAAAGCCUCUGGAAACAGGGGCCCUUCUUCGGAACACCAGCACAGGUGCUGCAUGGCUGUCGUCAGCUCGUGUCGUGAGAUGUUGGGUUAAGUCCCGCAACGAGCGCAACCCUUGCCCCGUGUUACUAACAGGUAAAGCUGAGGACUCUCGGGGGACUGCCGGCGUCAAGCCGGAGGAAGGUGGGGACGACGUCAAGUCAUCAUGGCCCUUACGCCUAGGGCGACACACGUGCUACAAUGGCGAGGACAGAGGGCAGCAAGACGGCAACGUGGAGCGAAUCCCAGAAACCUCGUCUAAGUUCGGAUUGUGGGCUGCAACUCGCCC